GAUGAACGCUGGCGGCGUGCCUAAUACAUGCAAGUCGAGCGGUAAGGCUCCUUCGGGAGUACACGAGCGGCGGACGGGUGAGUAAUACGUAGGAACGUACCCCAAAGUGAGGAAUAACCAGCCGAAAGGUUGGCUAAUACCGCAUAUGCUCUACGGAGUAAAGCAGCAAUGCGCUUUGGGAACGGCCUGCGUCCGAUUGGCUAGUUGGUAAGGUAAAGGCUUACCAAGGCGACGAUCGGUAGCUGUUCUGAGAGGAUGAUCAGCCACACUGGAACUGAGACACGGUCCAGACUCCUACGGGAGGCAGCAGUAGGGAAUUUUCCACAAUGGGCGAAAGCCUGAUGGAGCAACGCCGCGUGCAGGAUGAAGGCCUUAGGGUUGUAAACUGCUUUUAUCUGUGACGAUUAUGACAGUAGCAGAUGAAUAAGGAUCGGCUAACUCCGUGCCAGCCGCCGCCGUAA
rnacentral:rRNA from 1 species